AGCUGGUCCGAUGGUAGUGGGUUAUCAGAACUUAAUAACAUUAGUGUCACUAAAGUUGAUUUACAACUUGCAUUGCUAAAUUUAACUGGCUUUUA
rnacentral:Y_RNA from 1 species